GAUGAACGCUAGCGGCAGGCCUAAUACAUGCAAGUCGAGGGGUAGAUGGAGCUUGCUUCAUUGAGACCGGCGCACGGGUGCGUAACGCGUAUGCAACCUACCUUCAUCUGGGGGAUAGCCCGGAGAAAUCCGGAUUAACACCGCAUAAAAUCACAGUAUCGCAUGGUACAAUGAUCAAAUAUUUAUAGGAUGGAGAUGGGCAUGCGUGUCAUUAGUUAGUUGGCGGGGUAACGGCCCACCAAGACCACGAUGACUAGGGGAUCUGAGAGGAUGGCCCCCCACACUGGUACUGAGACACGGACCAGACUCCUACGGGAGGCAGCAGUAAGGAAUAUUGGUCAAUGGAGGCAACUCUGAACCAGCCAUGCCGCGUGCAGGAAGACAGCCCUCUGGGUCGUAAACUGCUUUUAUUCGGGAAUAAACCUAUCUACGUGUAGAUAGCUGAAUGUACCGAAGGAAUAAGGAUCGGCUAACUCCGUGCCAGCCGCCGCCGUAACAC
rnacentral:rRNA from 1 species